rnacentral:tRNA from 1 species
UCGGGGGUCGUUCAACGGCAGGACAGCAGCCUUUGGAGCUGCGUAUCGGGGUUCGAAUCCCUGCCCCCGAGC